rnacentral:rRNA from 1 species
UCGACCGCCUGGGGAGUACGGCCGCAAGGUUAAAACUCAAAUGAAUUGACGGGGGCCCGCACAAGCGGUGGAGCAUGUGGUUUAAUUCGAUGCAACGCGAAGAACCUUACCUACUCUUGACAUCCACAGAAUUUGGCAGAGAUGCUAAAGUGCCUUCGGGAACUGUGAGACAGGUGCUGCAUGGCUGUCGUCAGCUCGUGUUGUGAAAUGUUGGGUUAAGUCCCGCAACGAGCGCAACCCUUAUCCUUUGUUGCCAGCACGUAAUGGUGGGAACUCAAGGGAGACUGCCGGUGACAAACCGGAGGAAGGUGGGGAUGACGUCAAGUCAUCAUGGCCCUUACGAGUAGGGCUACACACGUGCUACAAUGGCAGAUACAAAGUGAAGCGAACUCGCGAGAGCCAGCGGACCACAUAAAGUCUGUCGUAGUCCGGAUUGGAGUCUGCAACUCGACUCCAUGAAGUCGGAAUCGCUAGUAAUCGUAGAUCAGAAUGCUACGGUGAAUACGUUCCCGGGCCUUGUACACACCGCCCGUCACACCAUGGGAGUGGGUUGCAAAAGAAGUAGGUAGCUUAACCUUCGGGAGGGCGCUUACCACUUUGUGAUUCAUGACUGGGGUGAAGUCGUAACAAGGUAACCGUAGGGGAACCUGCGGUUGGAUCACCUCCUUACCU